UGCGCUCUGAUGGCAAACGUUAACUUUGGGCAGCUGAAAUUUUUUCGGUCAAUUCCAAGCUACGACCUGUAGCUAUACUAGUAUCCCUGGUUUGAGCGGUAAUGGUGCUGUGUUGAUGUUAAGUCGCAACAAAAUUGUAACAUUUCUAAAUUAGGUGAUUAUAGUAACAGACACCUAGGAUGCAGCGACGAGGAGGGAAGCGAAUUCGGAUGGAUGAUCCUCCACCACCAGAAUAUGAGUCACCAAUGACUCCAAUGACACCACUAGAUGGAAGUGGAACAGAAUUGCAGGAGCCAUACACCCCUUACACCCCCUACAGCAAUCAGCCUGCCACCCCACUGCAUACAGGGUCUGAUAUGUAUGGUAAUAGUGAAUACAGUGAAGCAACAGCAAGCCAAGCUUACCAGCAACAACAGCAGCAGCAAUUAUAUGAACAGCAAACACAGCAGUUUGAUGUGCAGCAGCAACAAACACUUUCCAGCUAUGAUCAGACAGGCCAGUAUGACCAACCACCUACUCCUGUCAAUAUGGUUACCAGAGUCCGUGUAACACGUGCACGUGUGCGUGCGGCAGCAGCUGCUGCUGCUCCACCUCCACCCCCUCCUCCAGCUGCCCCAGCGCCAAUGACAGCUACAGUAGUUACCACACGGCGAGGCGGUCUAGCAGUGGAAGAGCCAAAAAAACGACGUCCUGGAAGAAGACCCAUGUCAGAGUUGAUGGCUGAGGAUGAGAACAGCUUGUAUUACAUUAUCAGACAAGGGAAGGUUUCACUACAGGCAGUUGUAGAUGAUUGGAUAGAGAGCUACAAAGUGAAUCGGGAUGCAGCAUUACUAUCGCUGAUGCAGUUCUUUAUUAAUGCAUCUGGCUGCAAGGGCAAAAUCACUUCAUACAUGCAGGCAUCCAUGGAACAUGCGGCCAUUAUACGAAGGAUGACAGAAGAGUUCGAUGAGGAGAGUGGCGAGUAUCCACUCAUAAUGACAGGGCAGACCUGGAAGAAGUUCCGCAACAACUUCUGUGACUUUGUACAAAUCCUGGUGAAGCAGUGUCAGUACUCCAUAAUUUAUGACCAGUAUCUCAUGGACAAUGUUAUCUCUCUCCUUACUGGUUUGUCUGAUUCCCAGGUUCGAGCCUUCAGACACACUGCUACACUUGCAGCCAUGAAACUGAUGACAGCUCUUGUGGAUGUUGCACUAACUGUGUCGGUGAACUUGGACAACACACAGCGGCAGUACGAAGCAGAAAGACAGAAGGCACGUGAUAAGAGAGCCAGUGAUCGACUCGAGUCCCUUAUGUCCAAACGGCAAGAACUGGAAGAGAACAUGGAUGAAAUAAAGAAUAUGCUGACAUAUAUGUUCAAGUCUGUGUUUGUUCAUAGAUACAGGGACACUUUGCCAGAGAUCAGAGCAAUCUGCAUGGCCGAGAUUGGGGUGUGGAUGAAGAAAUUCCAUCAGAACUUUUUGGAUGACUCAUAUCUAAAGUAUAUUGGCUGGACUCUUCAUGACAAAGUGGGAGAGGUUCGCCUCAAAUGCUUGCAGGCCCUGCAACCACUGUAUGCAAGUGAGGAGUUGAAAGGCAAGUUAGAACUUUUCACCAGUAAGUUCAAGGACCGCAUUGUCGCCAUGACACUAGACAAGGAGUAUGAUGUUGCAGUACAGGCUGUCCGUCUUGUCAUCAGCAUCUUGAAGCACCACAGAGAUAUCCUGACAGACAAAGAUUGUGAGCAUGUGUAUGAACUAGUGUAUUCUUCUCACCGAGCUGUUGCCCAAGCAGCUGGUGAGUUCUUGAAUGAACGUCUGUUUGUGCCAGAUGAAGAGGCAGUUGCGGGUAUCCGAACCAAGCGAGGCAAGAAACGGCUCCCGAACACUCCUCUCAUACGAGAUCUUGUGCAAUUUUUCAUUGAGUCAGAGCUGCAUGAGCAUGGUGCAUAUCUGGUGGAUUCACUCAUUGAAUCAAAUGAGAUGAUGAAAGAUUGGGAGUGUAUGACAGACUUGCUGCUAGAGGAACCAGGACCGUCAGAAGAAGCAUUGGAUGACCGACAGGAAACCAGUCUCAUAGAGAUCAUGGUGUGUUGUAUUCGCCAGGCUGCUACAGGAGAGCCGCCAGUUGGUCGAGGACCUACGCGUAAGAUAUUGUCAGCCAAAGAAAUCAAGCAGGUACAGGAUGACAAACUGCGCCUCACUGAACACUACAUCCAGACAUUGCCUGCAAUGCUUGACAAGUACCGAGCUGAUCCCGAGAAGUUGGCAAACCUACUGUCAAUUCCACAGUAUUUUGAAUUGGACAUCUACACAACUUCUCGCCAAGAAACGAAUCUAGAUCUGCUAUUAAAGAAAAUGGCAUCAAUUGUAGAAAAGCACCAUGACACAGAUGUACUGGAAACAUGUGCAAAGACUCUGGAACUGCUCUGCACUGAUGGCAAUGCCAUCUUCACUCGCUGUGAUGUGGCACGUUCAACUCUCAUUGACAUGGUGGUCAACAAAUAUAAAGAAGCAGUAGAUGAUUGGAGGUCACUAAUUGAGGGGGAAGAAACGCCAGAUGAAGAUGAAACAUUCAAUGUAGUAUACAGCCUUAAGAAAGUAGCCACUUUCUACAAUUGCCAUAAUUUGGGUAAUUGGGGUAUUUGGGACUCCAUCUUUAAAGACAUAAGUGAUGCAAAGGAUGGCAACAAAACACUGCCUGAAGAGGCAGUCCGGUACUGCAUCUCAGCUGGUUUCUUUGCGAUAUUGUGGGACCUGCAUCAUCUUGAGGAGGUGAUGGAGAGUGGAGCAAAUGGCUCUGUACAGCUGCAGCAGCUGAAGUCUAGGUUACACACGUUUAUGGACACAAUGAAGGAGAUGUUGAUGUCUGGUCAGAACCAGUCUUACAUGGAAGAAGCAUAUCUCACCCUGUGUGACCUGCUAGUGGUGUUCUGUGAACAAUUAGCCAGCAACUCGCAGCUUGUUGACUUGGUGUAUGAACCGGAUCGUGGGCUUCAGAUACAGCUCAAUGACUUCAUUCAAAAUUAUGUAUUCAUUAUGGAGGAGGAUGAUGAGCAGGAUGAACAUUCCAAGAUUGAGGAAUUGCACAAAAGAAGGAAUUUUUUGGCUUCAUUUUGCAAGUUGAUUGUAUAUAAUAUGAUGCCUACCAAAGUAGCUGCAGAUGUGUUCAAACAUUAUGUCAAGUAUUAUAAUGACUAUGGUGACAUAAUCAAGGCAACACUGGGCAAGGCUCGAGAAAUCAACAAGACUAACUGUGCUCGGACCAUGGCAAUCAGCUUGACUAUGUUAUUCCGGGAGCUUCAAAGAGAUGGCACUCGCAUAAACAGACAGAGUGAAGACUUCAUCAGUCUAAAGGAACUGGCAAAGAGAUUUGCUCUGUCUUUUGGCUUGGACGCGGUAAAGAAUCGUGAAGCCAUCACAGCCCUGCACCGAGAAGGAAUAUUGUUUUCAGUUAAUCCUUUGGAGAACAGUGAAGAUCCUACUGGACCACCCCCAAAUUUGCCCUUUCUCGAGAUCUUGACUGAAUUCACCAACAAACUGCUGAAGCAGGACAAGCGAGUUGUCUUGACUUUCUUGGACCGUCGUAUUGCCGCUGGCAUGCCAUCAAGUCGUGGUGAGGACUGGCAGCCACUGCUUAUGUACCGUAACAGCUUGGUACACGGAGAAACUGACCAGCCACCUGUCACAUCAAAACGAGCUUACAGCCGCAAGAAGAAAGAGUAUGCAGGUAAACUGCUUUCUUGGCCACGAGUUCCAUAAUAACAAGAAAUAGAAAGGUGUACUCCAGAGGAGGAAGGUCAGUUUACUGAUAGCUGCCAGUGAAGCAGGUUGAGUUUCAAGAUUCUAACAAGCAGAAGAAGAGGAGCAAGGGGAGGAAGCCGAGGAAGCAACAUCAGACCAGGAGUUCAACACAGGAUUCACUUUGGUUUCUGCCAUGCCAAAUUCUUAAUACUUUGGUUCCUUUUGUACCAAAUUCUUCUCAUUGUAAUUCCUAUUUUUCCAAAUUCUCAUUAACACAAUUCCUAUAGUUCCAUAUUGCCAUUACUUUAAAAAGUUAUGCACAUCAUUCCAAAAUUAGCCCCCACAUCUCAGAUAUCCAUAAAUAUCCUAAAAAAUAAAUCCUACAUGCAUGAAAGGAAUUCCCCCUUCUUCAGGUCACAUUUUUCUUAAAAUAGUUACGGAUUACUCUUCACAGUCUCUGCUUUAGUAGUGGGUGACCUAAUUACCAGUAUAUUUUCUCCUACUUUUUUGCAUUAAAAUUUUCCUAGCUAAACUGUAAUAAAUAUCAGACUGUUGUGCCACCUAAUUGCUGGUUGCACGGAUUUUGGCGUGGGACUUGUUUGCUUGGACACUGGGACUGUGGGUUUGAAUCCCACUAAAGGAAUGGAUGCUUGUAUGCAUCUUUCUGUGUUGUGUUGUCCUGUAUAAGUGGAGGCCUUGUGAUGCACUGGAGUCAUACCAAAUUUCCAAAUAUAUUUUGUAACUUCUCGUAUGUGUAGAACCCAAGGACUGUAGAGAGACAAAUAAUGAUGAUAAGCCAUAUAAUCAGCGGUAAUUAGUUGUGCAAUUUGGUAUACAAUCUUUUUGAUUUUCAGAAUAAUGUUAAAUACUAUAGGCUAACUUGAAAUGUAGUCAGAACAUCUUAUGCCUCCUUUUUCCACCUUUUAUAGUAUAUCAGAUACUGAUAAUUUAUAUUUAUUAUAAAUAUUUUUAAUUGAUUACUGUGUGGAAAAAUGGAAGGUUGUCAUUGUACUGUAUUUUACAGACUGUGUAGUUACCUAUGUGGUGUGAUCAGUGAGAAUUUUCGUACAUUUGAAGUAUGCUGUGACCAUCCAAUCAUAGUGUUCCUCUUAAGCUCUUGUACAUAUUUCUGAUGAGAUGUUCAGUUAUAUUUUACAAAGGAUUGUAAAGGGACUGUCUUACCUAACAGUCCUUUCAUGGUUGGAAUCAUCUGUUAAUGGUUUUUAACUGUUAAUACAGUAGUUAUUUAAGAGCAUAGCUAAGGUCUCUUGAGCGAGCUCUCUUUUGUUGAAAACAGGGCUUCUUUAACUUCUCCAGGGAUUUUACUCCAGUUCCUUUCAACUUAUUUUGGUCUUCAGUGCCCCCCACUGCUUGGUAUCCAUUAAAUUAGCUCUGUCUGCCAUCUGUGUUCUCCUGUUCUUUAUACAUGUCCAUAUCAUUGAAACAUUUUGUUUCCUGGCCUUCACACCCACUUUGUUUUAUGUUUAUUGUUUCUGUGCUUCAUUUUAUGUUGCAAUCUGCCUACUUAGUCCCAGGAAUUCUUUUCUUCUUAUCCUGUUGUCCAUUUCCUUUGAGCAUAGAAAGUGAAGAUGUUGAAUAGAAUAUCUAGAAGACCAAGCAACAAGACAAACCACAAUGAUUAAGAUGCAGGAUGACCCAGACUUUUGGAUGAAUGAGGAAGCAACAGGACAGCAAGUGGCCUAAGUGUUUAACUGCCAGGUGGUGUUGGUUAUGGUGGUGGCGACCAAAGACAGGGUGGGGGAGAUGAAAUGAGGGAAGAUACCAGAACAGAGUAGAGAAGAGUGGACACAAGAGGAGCUCGUGUUUGAGGAUAAGAGAAGAUUGGGGAAGGGGUUGUAAAAGGUUUAAGCAUGGAAAUGUCUGUGGGUGUUGAUGAAUUCUUUUCUCACUUAACAAACCAUUGGUAAAUGAAAGGGGCUCUGGAAUAUUUGCUGUUGUAACUACUGUGAUAUGGUAGUGUUUGGUGAUUUAUUUUAAUUAUGUUUGAGUUUUACCUUGUUCUUUUCUUUGGAAACAAGUGUCCAAGUUUUGAUUUUCAUCUACACUGUAGCCACCAUAAAGAAGAGGUUCUGGGAGAAACUGGUAACACCUGUGUUUCUUUAAUCUAUAUCCUCAAACAAACAUACACGUGUCUGCCUUUAUAGCUCUUGAUUUAUUUUGUGUAAAAAUGUAAACAGUCUCACUUUAUUUGUAUUCAUCAGUGCAGAGAUCAUGAAUAGUACUGGUGUAUAAUUCAGGAUACCGACAAGAAAUGGCAGAGAUAGCAUUUUUGCUUAUGUCACUUUGUGUAAUCCCCCACCUCCCUGUACCUGAUAAUGAAAGGAAGAAAUUAUCAAAUCAUUAAUGAUUAGGAGAGGUGAAUAUAAUAUUUUCUGGCAACUGUCCACCCAGCCUCCUUGUAUCCAUUAUGUACUGGUGAUAUUUCCUAGAUGUCAAGUGGUUAGAGCAUGAAUGUGACCACUCAAAUGCUUUGAACUUUGCUAUUACAUCCCCUCUGUGACCUCAUUGAAUGGUGCUGAGGCAUAGGGAUAAUUUUGUACUUACUGUUGUAAGAUGAUCCCCUUGUGAUGGGAUUCAUAAUGUCAGAGGUACGAUUGAGCAUUGUUGAUAUUUAUUUUUCUUUUGUUUCUGAUUUGAAAUCAUUCAAACACGCACACUGUCAACAGUGUUCUGGUAGUGAAUUUAUUGAAUGUCUGAUUAUGUAUACUAUAUAAAGUUUCUAAUAAAAGUAGUAGUUAAACAUU